ACCCCGAGGAAAAGAAAUCAACCGAGAUUCCCCCAGUAGCGGCGAGCGAACGGGGAGGAGCCCAGAACCUGAAUCAGCGUAUGUGUUAGUGGAAGCGUCUGGAAAGUCGCACGGUACAGGGUGAUAGUCCCGUACACAAAAAUGCAUAUGUUGUGAGUUCGAUGAGUAGGGCGGGACACGUGACAUCCUGUCUGAAUAUGGGGGGACCAUCCUCCAAGGCUAAAUACUCCUGACUGACCGAUAGUGAACCAGUACCGUGAGGGAAAGGCGAAAAGAACCCCGGCGAGGGGAGUGAAACAGAACCUGAAACCGUGUACGUACAAGCAGUGGGAGCACCUUCGUGGUGUGACUGCGUACCUUUUGUAUAAUGGGUCAGCGACUUAUAUUUUGUAGCAAGGUUAACCGAAUAGGGGAGCCGUAGGGAAACCGAGUCUUAACUGGGCGAAUAGUUGCAAGGUAUAGACCCGAAACCCGGUGAUCUAGCCAUGGGCAGGUUGAAGGUUGGGUAACACUAACUGGAGGACCGAAC
rnacentral:rRNA from 1 species